rnacentral:rRNA from 1 species
UACGAAGGGUGCAAGCGUUGUUCGGAAUCACUGGGCGUAAAGCGUGCGCAGGCGGACUGGAAAGUCAGGGGUGAAAUCCCAGAGCUCAACUCUGGAACUGCCUUUGAAACUGCUAGUCUGGAGGCCGGGAGAGGAUAGUGGAAUUCCUAGUGUAGAGGUGAAAUUCGUAGAUAUUAGGAGGAACACCAGUGGCGAAGGCGACUGUCUGGACCGGUUCUGACGCUCAAGCACGAAAGCGUGGGGAGCAAACAGG